GCGCGGAUCAGGGUUAGUCGGGUCCUUAGGCAAAGCCGAAAGGCGUAGCUGAUGGCAAAAUGGUGAAUAUUCCAUUACCUGCUAUAACUUCGAUGGAGUAACGGAGUAGUGAAAGGACUGCGCACUUACGGAAUAGUGCGUUAAAGGGUGUAGUUAUAUUUUGUGUAGGUAAAUCCGCACGGGAUGAUGAACCUGAUAGUACAACAAAGCUUCGGCCGCGUUGAUAAUGUCCCUAAUCAGACUUCCAAGAAAAACUUCUAAGGUUCGGUUAUAGCAGCCCGUACCGUAAACCGACACAGGUAGUCGAGGAGAGUAUCCUCAGGCGCUCGAGUGAUCCGUGGUAAAGGAACUAGGCAAAUUGACGCUGUAACUUCGGGAUAAGGCGUACUGCAGUAAUGCAGUCUCAGUAAAAUGGUCCAACCAACUGUUUAACAAAAACACAGGGCCCUGCAAAAUCGAAAGAUGACGUAUAGAGCCUGAUACCUGCCCGGUGCUGGAAGGUUAAGGAAGGAUGUCCGGCGCAAGCCAAAGCUUCUGACUGAAGCCCCAGUAAACGGCGGCCGUAACUAUAACGGUCCUAAGGUAGCGAAAUUCCUUGUCGGGUAAGUUCCGACCUGCACGAAUGGUCUAAUGAGUUGGACACUGUCUCUACCACGAGCUCGGUGAAAUUGUAGUAUCGGUGAAGAUGCCGGUUAAUCGCAACGGGACGGAAAGACCCCGUGAACCUUCACUACAACUUAACAUUGAUUUUGAACCACAGAUGUGUAGGAUAGUUGGGAGACUAUGAAGCAGCUUCGCCAGGAGUUGUGGAGUCAACGUUGAAAUACCAACCUUCUGUUGUUUAGAGUCUAACACCUCACGGUGGACAUUGUUUGGUGGGUAGUUUGACUGGGGUGGUCGCCUCCUAAAAAGUAACGGAGGCUCGCAAAGGUACCCUCAGUACGGUUGGUAAUCGUACGCAGAGCGCAUUAGUAAAAGGGUGCUUGACUGUGAGGCAAACAAGCCGAGCAGGAGCGAAAGCUGGCUAAAGUGAUCCGGUGAUUCUGCAUGGAAGGGUCAUCGCUCAAAGGAUAAAAGGUACUCCGGAUAACAGGCUGAUCUCCCCCAAGAGCUCAUAUCGACGGGGAGGUUUGGCACCUCGAUGUCGGUUCGUCACAUCCUGGGGCUGGAGAAGGUCCCAAGGGUUCGGCUGUUCGCCGAUUAAAGUGGCACGUGAACUGGGUUCAGAACGUCGCAAGACAGUUCGGUCCCUAUCUGUUGUGAUCGUUAGUAAAUUGCGAGGACAUGACCUUAGUACCA
rnacentral:rRNA from 1 species